rnacentral:tRNA from 1 species
UUCCAGAUGGGACUCGAACCACAACCUCCGGAUUAGAAGUCCGACACGCAAUCCACUGCGCCACCUGGA